GUGAUCGUUCCAGUGACUGAACCCAUGGCUGUUGGCGUAAUUUGUUUCUUUCUCUGGUUUUCAAACUCCUGAGUAGUAUCUUUGCCUGCAGCCAAAUUUUGCAUCGUUUAGCUGUUUAUUCUGUUUAGUGUGAAUGUAGUCGACUGUUCAGCAUCAGAUCGUUUUCUUUAAUUAAUAUAGUUGUUUUCUCUACCAAAAGAAUCUGUUUAAAUACAAUGUAGGUAUUUUGUUGUCCAAUAACCAUUAUGUGACCAUUUUCCUUCCAUCAAUAUGAUUAAGGAAUCCUUUUUGAAAAAUCAUUUAGUUACUGAUCUCCUUAAUUUGGUUUCUUCUUUGAAGUUUGUCUUGUUUUUCAUCGAGUUAAGCAUUAAAUAGCUUCUAGAAUUUCCGUGAAUAGUAGUCCUUAUCAUUCAUGUUAAGACUAUGAAUGCUAAGAUGACAAUACAUAUCUUGUUUAGUGAAACUUUAAGUUACUUGACUGGAAAACAGUAAUUGCGGACCCUGCAUGCGUUACUGAUACUGUGAUGCAGGUGACUCGAUGUCUCCCGAUCUCAAGAGUAGCUUUAUAGGUUUACUUGCAUUAUGAGUAAUUUUUUUUGGGUUUUGAUAGACACACCGAGAGGGAUCUGAUGGUCAGAAAUGUUGCGUUCUCAGCAUCCGUCGGAUGGUGGGCAGUCGUGAGCCUCACCCCCUCUCGUACGGUGCCCACCACGGUUCCCCUUUUCGGUGCAUCUAACAUUUUCUAUUUUUUCUUCUUCUUUAUAACGGCUACAACCGCAUCUAUUGGGUGUUUCCAGUUAGCCAUAGCCUAAAUAUCUGAAUAUUUUGGUAUCCACAUACCAUAUUUCGUUUUUCAAAGAUUAUUCUUCUAUGAAAUAAAGUUUCUAAAUAUUCAUACGAUCUUAAAUAAGUUCAAUACUUUAAUAAAGACAAUCUCAAGAAUUAUGACGCAAUAUAGUAGAUAUGCUCAUUAUUGAUCAUUCCACUGAUAUUGAUGAUAGUCAAUACCUGUUAUACAAAUUCAAAGUACAUCAAUAAUCAAUUGAGUUUCGUCUUGAUAAAAUAUUCGUAAUAAUUUAGCCGUAGAACUAUUAACAUAUAACCAAACUCAUGCAUCAAAAAAAAUAUACCCAAAGUUGACUAAUUAUUUCACAAUUUCACACUUGCAUCAUUAUGCAUCUAUCAUUCUUUUAAUAAUCUUUGAUUUUUUCUUUGUUUUUCAUUUUUGAUUUGUUCAUGGGUACAAUUCUUCUUCAUAUGUGUGGGAGCUUACUGUAUAAAUAUCGUGGAAUCAAAAGAACUUUAAAUCAUCGUAAGAGCUGCACCAACUUUUGGCCAUACAAACAGAGAAAUAUUUUGAAGCUGCAAAUAUGACAGUUUUAACCAUUGCUAAAUAUGCGAUGGAGUACCGAAAGUGAAAGCGCCGUGAAAAUAAUAAGGAAAAAUAGUAUAAACCAAGGAAGACUAGUGAUGAACCUGUUGUUGGUAGUCAGUCCAUGACUCCAUCGUAUCAUGCAGAAAGAUAAGUCCUCAUUCGCUGGGUCGUCUUCAAUUGCAAACCACAGUGAAACCAUCGUCCCUAUACUGUUUAAUCAAACAACAUCGGUGUGUUGUCAUAAACUAGAAAGGCUUUCUGUUUAUGUUGCUAGACAAAUUGGUUUCUCUGAUCCAAGUGACUGCCCUCAACUUUGCAAGUUAGCAUAUGAUUAUUUAAGAUCCACAAAGGGGUGCGAAGUCAAUAUAUAUACGGUUAUAUUGGGGAUCGACCUGGCGCCGACGCACUUUAUGUGAAAUUCGUAGAGGAGUUUGAAAGAUGUAUACUUGGUUACUGGCAUCGAGCCACAGCUAUGGUAACUCAGAUUUUGAAAGCUGAUUCAGAUCAGCCGUAUAGAAGGCUCAAAUGCGUCAUUCUGGCAACCAUGACUUAAAACUUGUCUAAUCUAAAUUAAGGAAACAAAGAUUUGAAAGCGUGGUUAAAUACCUGAAAGUAAAACGGAUAUUUUGUACUUUAGUGGAAGAAAUCAAAGCCAUUGGAAUCACAAAGGAUGAAGAAAAUGUCUGCAAAAAUGCUGUGAUGGUGCCUGUGGCCCAUGGUCACAGGAGUCCAGUCCUGCUUCUCAUGGGUGGUGGAAUGGGAGCUGGCAAGAGCACUGUGCUCAAGCACAUCUUCAAAGAGUCAUUUUGGUUUGGAGCGGCAGAGAAAGCUGUGAUAGUAGAAGCUGAUGCAUUCAAGGAAUCAGAUGUCAUUUACCAAGCUCUCAACUCUAAAGGACACCCUGAAGAUAUGCUCCAAACUUCCGAGCUGGUGCACCAAUCGUCCCUUGACGCAGCAACAUCUGUACUUGUAACGGCAUUAAACAGAGGUCGUGAUGUCAUACUGGAUGACACACUUUCAUGGGAGCCAUUUGUCAAGCAAACCAUUGCAAUGGUCAGGAAUGUUCAUCGCUGCAAGUAUAGAAUGGGAGCUGGAUACAGAAUUGCUGCAGAUGGAACAGUGACAGAAAGUUAUUGGGAGAGAGAUGAAGAAUUGACUAAUGAGCAAAAACCAUACCGAAUAGAAUUGGUUGCAGUUGUAUCCGAUGCUUAUUUAGCCGUCGCCAGAGGAAUAAGGAGAGCUAUACUGGUGGGAAGAGCUGUGAGGGUGACUUCACAAUUGAGAUCACAUAAAGGAUUUGCAAAUGCAUUUCCAAAUUACUGUGAUCUAGUUGAUAAUGCCAGGCUAUUUUGUAUCUAGUUGAUAAUGCCAGGCUAUUUUGUACAAAUGGUACAAGAACUCAACCCAAGAUGGACCCAAGUCGACCGGUGUUCGAACUUAUGGACUCAGCAGAACUUGAGUACCAUCGUUGGGUAUCGAAUGUGGAAACCACCCCCGUGGCAAAGGAAUAUAACUCCACUAUCAAUCCAUUUUCUGAUGUUGUUCCAGCAAAUGAGAAAGACAAAGAUCAUGCUCUUAUAUAUAUUCAUCAAGAGACACCUCAAUCCUAACCUACGUUGGGGUUAUCAUCACUUGAAGACACUUAAAGAGCUAUAGGGGCGCCUUCGAGAGCCAUUUUGGGAACAUUCAUGAUUCCUUGCUUAGCUUGAUUCAAUUAUUUUGUUUUGUGCAUGUAGAUAGAAAAAUUGGUUUCUAUGAUCCAAGUGACUACCCUUAACUUUCCAAGUUAGCAUAUGAUUACUUGAGAAGCACAAAGGGGUGCGAAAUGAAUAUUUACGGUUAUAUUGGGGAUCAACUUGACGCGGACGCACUUUAGUGAAAUUCGUAGAGGAGUUUGAAAGACGUAUACUUGGUUAUUUUGCAUUCCACUAGCAUCGAUCCAUAGCUAUGGUAACUCAGGUAUAUAUAUCAUUAAACAUAUAUCACUAUCGGUAGGUGAAUAUGCAACUUAAGGUUUUCUCACUAAAUUGCGUUGCAUCUUCUUUUUUAGAUUCUGAAAGUUGAUUCAGACCUUCCAUAUAAAAGGCUCAAAUGUGUCAUUCUGGCAAUCACUAGGCGAAGGAGAUUACGUUAUUUCUUUUUGAUUUU